rnacentral:rRNA from 1 species
AGCAGCCGCGGUAAUUCCAGCUCCAAUAGCGUAUAUUAAAGUUGUUGCAGUUAAAAAGCUCGUAGUUGAAUUUCGGGGUUAGUAGUUUGGUCGUGCCAAUGGUAUGUACUGGGCUCACUGAUUCCUCCUUCCUGAUGAACUGUAAUGCCAUUAAUUUGGUGUUGCAGGGAAACUGGACUGUUACUUUGAAAAAAUUAGAGUGUUUAAAGCAAGCUAACGCUUGAAUACAUUAGCAUGGAAUAAUGAAAUAGGACGUUCGAUCCUAUUUUGUUGGUUUCUAGGAUUGACGUAAUGAUUAAUAGGGAUAGUUGGGGGCAUUAGUAUUCAAUUGUCAGAGGUGAAAUUCUUGGAUUUAUUGAAGACUAACUACUGCGAAAGCAUUUGCCAAGGAUGUUUUCAUUAAUCAAGAACGAAAGUUAGGGGAUCGAAGACGAUCAGAUACCGUCGUAG